UUUUUUAUUAUUCUCUGAAAUCUGAAGCUUACGGUUGCCUAAAAGAGGGUGAGUUCUUCUUAUCUCCAAUUUUCCUGAGGUAGGAAGCACACUGUGGAAUAAGGAGAAAGAAAAUGCAGAUAUGAGUAGCCUCUCCAGGAAGCAAUGUGACUAAAUACUCUUUAUACAAAACCAAAGAAUUAGAUAAAUACGUGUUGAAGUGUUAUUCCUGAAAGCUGGAGAAAGAAAACUUACUUCUAAGAAUUGCGGAGUGAAGGAAUAAGAAAAUGUGACGCUUGGAAGAAAGAACACAGCGCCGAGAGGCCUUGUUGCUGAGUGUGCCGAACAAUAGGCACCCUCCAAGGAUGCUUGCCUGCAAUUCCAGCUCCGCCAUCAAUUCACUGUAUGCCUUUGGAAACUUUAAAAUUACACACCUGACUGAAAUUUGUGGGAGCCACAGUCCUCUAGAGUGUCUUGUACCAGUGAUUGAAUGCUGUACCUCAUUGGCUAGAAUCAGUCACCCAAUCUCAGGAAGGCCAGAAAAUGCAAUCCCACAACGUAGCUGGAAGGCAGCUAACUGGAAAUCAAUGAUCAUCCACAAGAAAUGAAUGAUGUUCAAAAUUACUUGUCAUGCCCUUUGCUUGGGGCUGAAAACAAGAUGCAGUCGUACAGAUUUCAAUUACAGAAGGGCAAGCAAAUGGAGUGUGUACUCUAGAGGCAGACUGCCUGGGAUCAAAAUGCUUGCAGUAUAACCAUCGACAGCCUCCAUAACUUAUCUCUUCCCAGGUUAACCAACCUGUAAAAUGGGGUAUGCAACUAAGACAUGCCUGAGUGAAGUUUCCUAGGAGCCAAAUAAUUAAUCCAACAUUUAUCUGAAAUGCAGAACUAACUUGCAUAAUUCUUCAAUUGAAUAUCACACCUUUGAUGGGGAUAUACAAAUUGUUUCAACCUGAGGCUUGAAAACAUGUGUCAUAAAGCAUUCUGAUUAAUCAAGAGCACCUUGUAAUUCGCUGCAUUUGGAAUGUAGAUACCUAACUUCCUGAAUCUUUUAACAAAAUACCUGUAAAAUUGCAUGAUCAAAACUAUACCUCCACUGAGCAAAGUGACAGAGAUGGUACUAACAUCAACAAAAGAAUCUUUCCAGCCAUGCAAGGUUGUAAUGUUAAAUUCCCAUUCACGAUCAAAAUUCCACAUAUUUACAACCUGCAAACAUCCAAAAUUCACACUUCAACAUCUGUGGGGCUGCCAACUUCUACUGAAAUCUAUAGUAUGCUUUUUUAGAAGUGGAAGAAAAAGAACAUAAAACCUUGAGGUAAGUACAAUUCAAUAAUUAUGCUAAAUAUUUACCAAAUGUUUGUUAUGGGAUGUAUUUUAUUAGUUGAUAACACUUAGAAACUGAUUAGGGAUGCAAAAGGCUUAACAAGUUUGCAGAAUUUUUACUGCAGACUGUGGCUCAAGAAUUUAUAGCAUGCCAAAAACACACA